UUUGGCUUAUGAAAGCUUUCACAGAACGCUCUACUUUUGGAGACUGGGGGAAGCUGCAGUUAGAAUAAUGCCAGGUAUUUCCUGAAGCACAUUCUCCUCAGAAACCUUACAGCAAGGAAGGUACUGCCAGAGAAGAGGAUGUGGGCAUUUCUCCGUGCUGCCUGAGAUACCAUCUUGGUCGUGAAAGCCUCCAACCUGCAACCCCCACAACAGCAGAUGUGUCCUCUCAAGCCUAUCUGUAACUCCUUGGCUGAUCUCACUACACAAAAAGACAAAUCUCCUUUGACAGAGAAGCUGUAUCUGCCUUCUCACCUCUUGAAAGUUGAAGGGAUAAUGAAUGUCGCAUUUCAUCCUAAUUCAUCCUGACAGUCUUACUCAAAUCUUGGAGAUGAAAAUUUCCCAGGCAGCAGGGCUCUGUGCCCCAUGAAAUAUGCUGGGACUUCUGCAAGUUCACAUGAUGUAUCAAAGUGACUCAGCUAAGUGGUUUCCAGGAUCAUUUGCCAUCUUCUGGAUGAAAAUCACAAAUCCCACAUUUAAAAUUGGAGACAUUUUGUGUAAGGCCCAUAAGCAACUCAUAGUGAAUCACUAACUGAUUUUACAUGGGAAAAAGAAAAAAAAAGAGUGAAGAAACUCAAGGUCACUUAGAAAAUAUUCCCGUGCCAACACAGAGAGUAUCACAGAAGGUUUCUCCUAAGGGAGUGCCUUCCUCCAGAGGCGUUUUUUUCCCCUGGGCUAUGUUUCUCAUAUGAAAAAAGUUCCAGCUGAAUAAGAAGAUGCCAGUUUUAGUAACUAACUAGUUAGUGAGGUCAUUAAAGAUCAAUGAUGUGGUUUGUCCAAGACAAAAUGAAAAAAAAUACUAAUGAACGUAUUAAUAAAG